AUGUCAUUGAUAUACUAUGUUUUUGUUCUUUUUUUGCAGAAACAGGAAAGGAGAAGAAGGGAAUCAGAUCCGGCGAUGAAACAAUUCCAAUCCACCGCGCUCAGCCUUGCCGCCGUAAUGAGCCCAACACGGUUUCCUCCUCGCUACACCCAAAACGCCACCGAGUCGUCCAUCCUCUGUCAAGCAGAAGCCGCCGCGGUCGAGGAACAUCGCACCGAACCUUCACCUUGCUGA